UACGGAGGGGGCUAGCGUUGUUCGGAAUUACUGGGCGUAAAGCGCACGUAGGCGGUUUUGUAAGUUAGAGGUGAAAGCCUGGGGCUCAACUCCAGAAUAGCCUUUAAGACUGCAUCACUUGAACACGGGAGAGGUGAGUGGAAUUCCGAGUGUAGAGGUGAAAUUCGUAGAUAUUCGGAAGAACACCAGUGGCGAAGGCGGCUCACUGGACCGUUGUUGACGCUGAGGUGCGAAAGCGUGGGGAGCAAACAGG
rnacentral:rRNA from 1 species